rnacentral:lncRNA from 1 species
ACCCUCCAGAGCCACGUGGCCCUUGAUAAAUCCUAGACUGUGCUCAGGAGGACUUGUGUGGUUCCUGAAACUGUCUUUUUAACAACUGAGAUGAGGGAGCCGUUAGCUGGAAGUGGGGCUUUGGGAGGUCUCCUGAAGUCCUCUCUGCAACCUGUGCAUCAGAGAAACUGGCCACUGGUGAGUGACCUUUUCAGGUGAGUGAGCUCUCAGGGUGAUGUUGAAACACAGGAUUAGGGGAAACAGACACCGCAGCCUGUUACCCACCUAUUGCUGGGAGGUAGAAGACGAAUCAAGAAUUUAAACACAUGUAAAACAGCCUCGGUGGCAGUGGCAUCUUUCCCGCUGGAGGAGAGAAUAGAAGAACCGGCUCAGCGCUCUGAGGAAACAUCUUCUCGCUCCCUGCCGAGGGACAGACUUACAAAGGAUGAUAUUUACAUUUUCUCCAAGCCUCUAAUUUUCUCAUUUAUCAUUUGUCAGAGCCCGAGGCCCUUCCUCAGCACAUGGUGUUUGCCAGCUGCUAAUGAUCCCUUUACCAAACAUCACAGUCCAGCCAGGAGCUUGUUAAUGUUGCUGAGGCUGCUGAUUUAAUGCCUUAGUGUCACAGGUCUCGGGCCCCUGGAUCACAGGAAUGCUGCUGCCCUGGGGCCCUGUGCUUCCUGCAGGCUCCCCCAACACCAGGGAACCAUGGAAACCACUCCAGUCCCAGAGACUGGCAGAGCCCUGAGGUUAGCUGAGGAAGCGGGCAGAGGCUUCUAGAACUCCACCCAGAGAUCACAGCUGGGCCCCACCUUGCUGCCCGGCAGGGAACACCUGAGGACUGGAGUCACUCAAGGAGUAAGCAGAGACAGGGUUUCCAGGGCUCCAGACCCAUUCUUCUUCCUUGGUACCAUCUCCUCUUCUUGUCCUCUGAGGCAGAGCAAAACCGUAGUCCAUGAGAGAGAUUCUGUCCAGCCCAGGACCCAGAGACACCUCAUGAUGACACAGGGGCUUCUGGGUCUUGUGACACGGGGAAGGGACAACUCCUCUGGUUCCUGAUUAUGAACCAGUUUAGAGCCUGUCAUUAAG